UACAGAGGUCUCAAGCGUUGUUCGGAUUCAUUGGGCGUAAAGGGUGUGUAGGUGGUGCCGUAAGUCGGGUGUGAAAUUUCGGAGCUUAACUCCGAGACUGCAUUCGAUACUGCGGUGCUUGAGGACUGGAGAGGAGACUGGAAUUCAUGGUGUAGCAGUGAAAUGCGUAGAGAUCAUGAGGAAGACCAGUGACGAAGGCGGGUCUCUGGACAGUUCCUGACACUGAGACACGAAGGCCAGGGGAGCAAACGGG
rnacentral:rRNA from 1 species